rnacentral:rRNA from 1 species
UCGCCUACACGAAGUCGGAAUCGCUAGUAAUCGCGGAUCAGCAUGCCGCGGUGAAUACGUUCCCGGGCCUUGUACACACCGCCCGUCACACCAUGGGGAGUUUGUAACGCCCAAAGUCGGUGGCCUAACCUUUAUGGAGGGAGCCGCCUAAGGCGGGACAGAUGACUGGGGUGAAGUCGUAACAAGGUACC